rnacentral:piRNA from 1 species
UGAGCCUGUGUUGUGAAGCAAUUCCUGU